rnacentral:misc_RNA from 1 species
GAUUGGUCGAAAGACCUUAUCAGAUUCUACCACCUCUGUGAACCGUUGACCUCCGGGUUAAUAAUCAAACAUCAGUGUAACGAACGUAAGAGUGUCUUAAUUAAACAAAACUUUUAACAACGGAUCUCUUGGCUCUCGCAUCGAUGAAGAACGCAGCGAAAUGCGAUAAGUAAUGUGAAUUGCAGAAUUCAGUGAAUCAUCGAAUCUUUGAACGCACCUUGCGCCUUUUGGUAUUCCGAAAGGCAUGCCUGUUUCAGUGUCAUGAAAUCUCAAUCUAAUAUGUUUUCUGAACAUGUUAGGCUUGGACUUGGGUGUCUGCCAGCAAUGGCUCACCUCAAAUGACUUAGUGGAACAUCCCACAUCAGUGUUAGACGUAAUAAGUUUCGUCUCUCCUUGUGGUGAUGACUGCUCAAAACCUGCCAUCGCGCACCUUUU